rnacentral:misc_RNA from 1 species
UAACAGGCAACAUCCUUCUCUAAUCUCUUCUUUGCUCUUGCGUGCGUGGAUCUUCUCUAAUUUCUUCUUUUGCUCGUGUGUGUGGAUUUAUAUCGAUGGCACUCGUAGAGCUUUUGCUUUGCGUCAUUGGAGGAUUGGUUGCUCAUCAACUCUGCAAAUAUCUGCCAAAAUUGAUUGAACGCAGAGUGGUCAAGACAAUCUGUCUCUAUGGAUUUCCUUCUGUUGAGAAUCCAGAAGGCAUAAAAGAAUUUCUGGAGGAACAUACAGGAGAAGGAACCGUUUAUGCUGUGGAGGUUGCACUGCCCAAAAGUUCAGGUUCAAGAACAUAUGCUAAAGUUCAAUUCACUGACAAAAAGGCUGCCGAAACCAUCAAAUCAUUAGCUAAUGAUUACCUGUGGUAUGGGAAUUCUUAUCUGAAAGCUCGGGAUGCCGACCAUGAUAUUGUUCCAAUGCCAAGGGACUUUGAGGAAUGUAUAGAUAACGUUACAUUGAACUUUGGAUGCCAGAUUUCCAAGGAAACAUUCUCUCUUCUGUGGAAAAAGGAAAAUGUUUCAGUUAAAUUUGGGUUUAGACUCAGAAAAUUCUACUUCUUUUUCUCCUUUCUUUCCACUGAUUACAAGCUUGAGCUUUCCUACGAGAAUAUUUGGCAUGUUGAUCUACAUCGUCCUCGUGGUGGAACCAAAAACUUUCUUCUCAUUCAGUUAUAUGGUGCUCCCAAGAUUUAUGAGAAAGACAUACCUGCUCUGAGCUAUUUUAAGGAAGCUACUGAUGACAAGUGGGUGCGGGAAGUUGAUUUUACUCCAUCCUGCUGCAUUGGGCAGUCCUCUGCUUUGUGCUUGGAGCUUCCACGAAGGGGUCAACUUCCAAAUUUUCGGGAAAAUUUUGUAUACUACAAAGAAAAUGAAAGGCAAUUCAAUCUGGUGACAGGUUCAGCUUUCUCUUGCAACUCAGAUCUUGUCCCGAUUGUAAGUUCACCCCACGGAUUCCACUUGCCAUAUGAAAUCUUGUUUAAAGUUAAUUCUUUAGCCCAGCAUGGCUGUCUUCCUGGGCCUGCACUUGAUGUGAAUUUCUUUCGGUUGGUUGAUCCAGACCGAGUAGACAUUGCAUACAUAGAACAUGCCCUUGAGAAACUGCGCCAUUUGAAUGAGCGCUGCUAUGAUCCUGUAAGGUGGCUCCGUAAGCAGUACACAAAAUACCAUACUUCUGGCAGGCUUCCAGAACCACCUGUUGUUGCUUUAGAUGAUGGGUUGGUAUACGUACACAGGGUUCAAAUAACCCCUGCUAAAGUAUAUUUCUGCGGUCCAGAAGUGAUCCUCUCCAAUCGUGUUUUGCGCAAUUAUCCUGACGAUAUCAAAAAUUUUCUUCGCGUUUCAUUUGUUGAUGAGGAUCUAGGUAGACUUUAUUCAAAAAAUUUAUCUCCUAGAACAUCUUCUGUCAAGGAGGAAAGGCGAACCAGAGUUUAUGCAAGGAUACUGUCAACACUGAGAAAUGGUAUAAUCAUUGGAGAUAAGAAGUUCGAGUUUCUUGGCUUUUCACCGAGUCAAUUACGAGAACAUUCUAUGUGGAUGUUUGCUUCUAGGCCAGGGCUUACUGCAGAGGACAUCAGAAAGUGGAUGGGAGAUUUUCGUGAAAUAAAGAAUGUGGCUAAGUAUGCUGCUAGGCUUGGCCAAUCUUUCAGUUCAUCAAGGGAAACAUUCAAUGUUUAUAGGCAUGAAAUUGAAAUUAUUCCUGAUAUAGAAGUUAACAGUGAUGGAGUCAGCUAUGUAUUCUCUGAUGGAAUUGGAAAAAUUUCUUCAGAAUUGGCUCAUAGCAUAGCCCAAAAACUUGGCUUCAGAAACUAUACUCCAUCAGCUUUUCAGAUUAGAUAUGGUGGCUAUAAGGGUGUUGUAGCCGUUGAUCCAACUUCACCAAAGAAGUUGUCACUGAGAAAGAGUAUGUCCAAGUACAAAUCCAACAACACUAGCCUAGAUGUUCUAGGAUGGAGCAAGUAUCAAGCUUGUUUCCUUAAUCGUGAAGUGAUCACUCUUUUGUCUACUCUUGGGGUCAAGGAUCGUGUUUUCGAGAAGAAGCAAAAAGAGGCUGUAGCUCAACUUGAUGCUAUUUUGACAGAUCCAUUACAGGCACAGGGUACACUUGAGAUGAUGGCCCCGGGAGAGAACGCCAACAUUCUCAAGGAAAUGUUCUUGUGUGGUUACAAACCAAGCACAGAGCCAUUUCUUUCAAUGAUGCUGCAGACAUUCCGUGCUGCAAAAUUGUUUGAUUUGAGGACCAAAACAAGGAUAUUUCUUCCGAAAGGCAGAGUAAUGAUGGGAUGUCUGGACGAAACUGGGACGCUGAAAUAUGGUCAAGUAUUUGUGCAGUACUCUUGUGCAGGGAAUAGGCAGUUCUUCAGCUGCAAUGAAACAGAUCAACACAGUCUGAUCUUCCAGGGGAAGGUCAUUGUCGCAAAAAAUCCAUGUCUACAUCCUGGAGAUGUUCGUGUCUUGAAGGCUGUGGAUGUGCCUGCUUUACACCACAUGGUGGACUGCAUUGUUUUUCCACAGAAAGGAAAGAGACCUCAUACAAAUGAAUGCUCGGGAAGUGAUCUUGACGGAGAUGUCUACUUUGUUUGUUGGGACCCUGAUCUUAUUCCUCGUUGGUCGUACCCACCCAUGGAUUAUACAGCAGCCAAAAGUAUGAUCCAGGAUCAUGAUGUUACAAUUGAGGAAGUCCAGAAGUACUUCGCUGAAUACAUACUUAAUGACAGCUUAGGAAUCAUUUGCCAUGCCCACAUUGUCUUUGCUGAUAAGGAGCCUUCCAAGGCAAGGAGUAAAGAAUGUAUUGACCUAGCUAAGCUUUCCUCGAUUGCAGUUGAUUUCCCCAAGACUGGUGUGCCAGCCAAAAUUCCGCCACAUCUUCGCGUGAAGGAGUAUCCAGACUUCAUGGAAAAGCCUGAUAAACCAGAAUAUGAAUCGCAGCGCGUCAUUGGGAAGCUUUUUCGAGCUGUAAAGGACAUCGCACCUAACAUUAGCCCUACAAGAUCCUUCACCAGGGAAGUGGCAAGGCAGUGUUAUGAUCCUGAUAUGGAAGUAGAAGGGCAUAUGCAUUAUAUAGAUGAUGCAUUCUACUACAAAAGUCAAUAUGACAACAAAUUGGGGAAUAUGAUGGAUUAUUAUGGGAUAAAAACAGAGGCUGAAAUAAUCAGUGGAUGGAUCAUAAAAACAUGGAAAUCAUUCGACAAGAAAAGGGAUUUCGAUGCGAUUAUGUUUUCUGUAAGGUCAUUGAGGAAUCAAGCAAGAGCCUGGUUCAAUGAGACAGAAAGUGAUGAUUUAUAUGCGAAAGCAUCAGCUUGGUACUAUGUGACAUACCAUCCAAGUUACUGGGGCAGGUAUAAUAAAGAGUUGAAUAGAGAUCAUUUCCUGAGUUUCCCUUGGUGUGUCCACGACAAGCUUAUUGAGAUCAAGAAAAGCAAAGCGAGUGAUGGUCGUAACAGUAUUUCUUCAAGUUUGUCAUCAUUGGCAAACCAGUUCAGUAACUCGGUGUCACUGAAUUGGUACUCAGAGACUGAGGACUAGAUGGGAUCUUUAGACUCUUUCUGUCAAUCUGCUCUAAAUUAAGAAGCAUAGAAUUAGAAUCACCUAAGAAUGUGAUGUUUUUUUAAUUGUUGUAAGAUGAAACUUGUUAUUAGUUUCAAAGUGUGUGCUUUGUAAUUAUUGUAGGGCUUGAAAAGGAUGUGAUUGGUAUUGGAAACUGAGUUCUUUGUUUAUCAAUUGUUUGUUUUAUAUGUUUAUAGGGGACUCGUAAAGAAUAUUUAAUUGAAUUUUUGAUCUUUUGUACCAAUC